AGCAACGGAGAGUUUACCUCAGACUUUAUUGGACUGAUGGGUGCUGACUGAACUGCGCAGGCCAUAACAGACAGACUUGUGAGACUUUUCCAGGACACAGGCUUGGAUGACUGGACAACAAAAUUGGCCGCUGUGUGCACAGACGGGGCUGCUGUCAACAUCGGUCUGCAUAUCGUAAGAAACAGAUCACAGCAAGCAACUUUUUGAUAUGGUCUUACCCUCCUUCCUUAUUUAAAACUCUGUUAGGCCAGUACAACCUCAAAGAAGGAUCUAAAGUAGGGCUGGGCGAUAUAUCUAACGAUAUAAUCAUGCGCAUCUAGUCAGUAAAGCCGGUUCCCUGAUUAGCGCUAAAUCGCCAUCACCUGCUUUCAAAUGGAGCGGCAUUUAAUAGACAGAGCCGUAGAUCACUGACAAGCAAUACCGGGUUCAUUAUCGCAGAUGUAUCACCUUCGAUAAUCAACCCGAUAUUGCGUAGCUUGUCAGUGAUCUACGGCUCCGUCUAUUAAAUGCCGCUCCAUUUGAAAGCAGGUGAUGGCGAUUUAGCGCUAAUCAGGGAACCGGCUUUACUGACUAGAUGCACUUGAUUAUAUCGUUAGAUAUAUCGCCCAGCCCUAAUCUAAAGUAAAUUGAUGGUAAAAAGUGGUUAUUUAAACAUCUGUGUUAAACAUCUGCAUUUGUGUUUCUUAAGCCCGGGACACACAUAGCUGACUCAUCAGACAAAGUUUUUGAGUUCCAGUCGACUUUAGUUUGUUAGACAAAUAUAUCUUCAGAUAUUGACUCUCCUUCCCUUACGAAAAUUAACCAUGGUUUAAUUAUAGUAAAACUGUAGUAACCAUGGUUUUUUGGCGUGUUGACUACCAUUUGUAUAACCACAGAUUUACUACAAAUACCAUGGUUAAACU
ensembl:lncRNA